GAGUGCUGGUUGAGGACAGGAUUGGGCUCAGCUGUCAUAUUCCUGUGCUGUGAUCAAAUAGCUUGUGGGCCUCACUGUUGAGCCUCACAAUUAUGGCAACUUGGGAAAGGUACAAGAUAAAAAACAGACAUGUCUCACAAAUAUUUGUUUUCUUUAAUAGAGUGCCUGUGAGGGGAGCCUGGCAUCACGUGGAACAAAUGUCCACUGGUUCAUGAUGUUAUGCUGCCAAAAUAUCUUAAAGGGUUAACAAGAAUCAAGUGAAAAGAAGCCCUGCUUCCCAGGAUUGAAACAGCUGAAUGGUUAGUCCCAUUCUUAUUAUUAUUCAUUUUCUCCGUACUUCUGCUUUUCAGAUAUUAAUCUAAUGAAAGCUAAUACAGAUUCUGCCUCAGCCAUCCUUGUAGGUUGGACAUGCCACAUCCUAGCAAUGUUCAGCCAAUUUGUGCCCAGCGAUGUCCCGCAAAACAGCCAUGGAGUGAGUGACCAAUUUUAUUUGGAGGGAAUGUUGGCCAGGACACCACAAGAAACUCGCUUCUCUUUUCGAAUAGAGUCAUGGUCUCUUGAACCCGAACAGGCAGACAGGACUUCAGUUUAACGUCUCAUCCGAAGGACAGCAAUGCAACUCUCCCCAGCACUACAUUAGAGUGUUAUCUUAGACUAUGUGAUUCCAAGUCCCGAUGUGGGGCUUGAACCACCAACCUUCUGACUCAAAGGUCGCCCUGUUCUAGAAAUAAUUUCCCACCAAGAUGGUAAUGGGAGAGGAGAUCUGCUGCCAGACGCCCCCAACCCCAAUUGGGGAACAAAAUUGGUUUCUCCUCAGCACCUCUAUUUGACAACACAGAUUGUGAACUCAGUUCAUGUAUGGUGCAGCCAAGCUCCUUUACAUUGUGCCUCUCCUCGUCUUGAAUCUCCUCAUCUUAUUCUGUGAAGCGCUUUCAGAUGUCUCGAAGAUGUGAUAAGACGCAAUAUCAAAUGCAAGGAUUAUUAUUAUCUUGGGUUUCAGUUUUGAUUAACGCAGUUUAAUCAUGCAGGAGACACCAAAGUAGACUUGUGACUAUUUUACACCAACAAGUAAAUUCCCUAUUUAUAAGCAGACAAUUACUUGCAAUAACACCCUGUUUGUGGAAUUCUUUCAUUGUAUUGUUUAAACAUUUAAAGAAUUCAUAUCACAUGAGUCGUUCUGAAAUACCAGUAUAAUUAUAGUGGAGGUUGCCAAAUCUUGCCGGUUAGACAAGAUUUAAUGCCUAAGAGUCACCGCAGAGACAUCCCUGGCAUCUGUGCUGAUGGUUAUUUUAGGUACAUUUUACCUAAGGUUUCAUUAAAUUCCCAGAAAAUUUAAAC